rnacentral:rRNA from 1 species
UGGGGAAUAUUGGACAAUGGGCGCAAGCCUGAUCCAGCAAUGCCGCGUGUGUGAAGAAGGCCUUCGGGUUGUAAAGCACUUUUAUCAGGAGCGAAACGCUGUCGGCUAAUACCCGGCGGAACUGACGGUACCUGAGGAAUAAGCACCGGCUAACUUCGUGCCAGCAGCCGCGGUAAUACGAAGGGUGCAAGCGUUAAUCGGAAUUACUGGGCGUAAAGCGUGCGUAGGCGGUUUCUUAAGUCUGCUGUGAAAUCCCCGGGCCCAACCUGGGAAUGGCAGUGGAUACUGGGAGGCUAGAGUGUGUCAGAGGGUGGUGGAAUUCCCGGUGUAGCGGUGAAAUGCGUAGAGAUCGGGAGGAACAUCAGUGGCGAAGGCGGCCACCUGGGACAACACUGACGCUGAGGCACGAAAGCGUGGGGGAGCAAACAGGAUUAGAUACCCUGGUAGUCCACGCCCUAAACGAUGCGAACUGGAUGUUGGUCUCAACUCGGAGAUCAGUGUCGAAGCUAACGCGUUAAGUUCGCCGCCUGGGGGAGUACGGUCGCAAGACUGAAACUUAAAGGAAUUGACGGGGUCAUAGCUGUUUCCUG